rnacentral:lncRNA from 1 species
CCCAAGGGCACAUACUAGAAUCUAGUGGAUGGUAUACCUAAAAUGAGUAGGUUUAAUAUCAUGAGAAACACGUGCACUACUAAUUAUAAGAAAGGGAGAAAAUAACCAAGCCUUCCUUCCUCAAUGCAGCAAGUGCCUCUCCAAUAAAAGAAUAGCCUUAGGAAAGUUCAUUAUCCUCACCAUAUAAAUAUGUGUUAUUUCCACCUGAUCUAUGCAAUCCAACCAACGAGAAGAAUCUGGAAGAGAACCAAUACAGUUAUAAUAGAAAUUAUGUUCAUAUCAAGCUUUGAAUAUUCUAGUGCUAAGUCUUUUAGAGUAAGGUUAUAAUGUGCUCUUGAUAUUAAGAUAUGAAUUCUUUCUUUAUUACAGUUCAUAUUAAGAAUCAGUGCUUCUUUUGUGAAGCAUCAUUUUUAGCUAUAAAUACCUAAAUUUUUUCAUAGGUAAAUAGAUAAAAUUUCGAAGUGAAAGAACAUUUUCUUCUUUCUAAAAACUCAAGUGUGAUCUUCAAAUCGUUGAGUGAGUUCGUUGUUCCGCAAAUUUGAGGUACCGUUAUUUUCUGAAGUGAAUUAUUUUAUACUAGGAGGAUAUAUUCUAUAACAGAAAAAUAAAUUCCUUAAGGAAACACCGCGUAUUUGAUGAAAUUGAUUCUAUCACUUUUGACUUCAUCUCUUUCUUAUGUUUUACUAUUUUUGAGAAAAUAGUUGAAACUUCAUUUUGAUAGUUCAUAAAUUGUUUGAACUUGUGUUUGGAGUUGUUUGAACUUCGUUUUUGCUCUUGAACUUAGUGUUAGAGUUCUUAUUGUUAAUACAAAUGUGUAUCUAGAAAAAAAUAUGUGUGACCCCCUAUUUGGAGAUUCUGUUUUGCCGCCAGUAGAAGAUCGUACCGUUAUUCUCUUCAUCGUUGGUAGAAGAUCAUAUCUUCAUUUUCCUUACUAUUGUUCGUAGAUCAUACCAUUAUUUUAUUUAUCAUUAAUGGAAGAUCGCACCCUCAUUUUUUUCACUAUGGGUGAUAAUCAUACUAUCUUUUUCUUCACCGGCAGUAGAAGAUCGUACCAUUGUUCUCUUCACAGUUUUUCAAAUAUCAUAUCACUGUUCACCAUCGGUGGAAGAUCAUACCAUCUUGUCAACUUUCUUUAUAGAUACCAAGAGUAACAAUUCAGAGAGAAUGGGGGAGAAAGAAAGUAGAGAGAGAAUUAUUUCAUUUCAAC